rnacentral:lncRNA from 1 species
CCUUGUGUUGGCAGAACCAGCAAGGCUCCAUUGUUGCAUCCAUAUGGAACUUACAUGCUUGAAAAUGAACUGAGGUUAAUUCGAUUAUUCAUACAACAGAGGCAUUUUCCAUAGGCAACACUAAGACGAAACAAUCCUUUAGGGGAUGGAGCAUCCUCUUUUGGGCAAAAAACUUUUGCAAGUAGUUUAAUCAUGUAAUGCUUGUUACAAUGCUUUGCUGACCAAGUUAUGUUUGAUCAAAAUUCAAAAAAGCGCUAGGCGUUAAUUAUGCGUUCGACCACCUACUUGCGCUUUUCUAGCUUAGACGCGGUUAGGUGAAAUUUGGCGCAAUUAGGCGUUAGUACUGUAGGAUGAAAAGAUAAGCUAGAUGGGCUGGUCUAGCCCAUUAAACCACAGGCCCAUCUUCAUAUCCUCCUACUAAAGCUCUUGUAUGUUGUGCAGUGGACAGGAAAUUUAGGUUUCCUCCUCACGUCUUCCCCUCGUCCUCUCUCCCUUGCUACACUAGGCUGCUUCUCUCCCUCUUCCUCUGUCCCUUGCCAGAGAAGCUCGAUCCCUCACCGGAGAAGCCUGAUCCCUCGCCGGAAUCAGUCAAUUUGUUGUCGGAGUAGCUGAAUCCCUUGUCGGCUAGGAUGAAUCCUCGCAGGGGAGGUAGAAUCCUCAUCGGGGAAAUUGAUUUCUCACCUGAGAAACAUGAUUCCUCGCCGGAGAGACUGAUUUCUCGCAGGAGGACCUCACCGGCCGCUUUUUUGAGCGCCUUGGGCCAAAGCGAGGCGCUAGGCCAACGCCCAGCGCUUAAGCGCGCCUAAUAGCGCUUUUUUAACGAGGUGUUUGAUGCAAGAAGGCGAAGGUGAAAUAUCAGUCCAGACUGAAGAGAUUAUCAGAAUCAGAGUAAGGGCUGAAGAAAACACUAUGCUAAUUAUCCUGCCUUGUGCUAGGUUUGGUACUUCAGUCAGUUCCUUGGCUAAUACCUUAUAUAAGAUUGAGUAAAAAAAAACCUUAUACAAAAUUGUAUUGUCUCAAGAACCAGCGGUAGCUUCCAUGAAGGAGGGGACCUGCCCAGCAACUAACACAUGCAGGUUGUCUGCACUCCACAUGAGACAAACUAACACAGGAUUUUUAAACCACUGGCUAAGGUUUGUUGAUGCCUAAUUGCCUAGUCUCUUUUGGGUCCUUGAGGCAUGUGGCUCUAGGAAAACAUGCAUUAUAUUCAAUUUCAU